CCUACGGGAGGCAGCAGUGAGGAAUAUUGGUCAAUGGCCGAAGGGCUGAACCAGCCAAGUCGCGUGAGGGAUGACGGUCCUAUGGAUUGUAAACCUCUUUUGUCAGGGAGCAAAGGGCGCCACGUGUGGCGCUUUGCGAGUACCUGAAGACAAAGCAUCGGCUAACUCCGUGCCAGCAGCCGCGGUAAUACGGAGGAUGCGAGCGUUAUCCGGAUUCAUUGGGUUAAAAGGGUGCGCAGGCGGAAUGUCAAGUCAGCGGUAAAAUUUCGGGGCUCAACCCCGUCGUGCCGUUGAAACUGGCGUUCUUGAGUGAGCGAGAAGUAGGCGGAAGGCGUGGUGUAGCGGUGAAAUGCAUAGAUAUCACGCAGAACUCCGAUUGCGAAGGCAGCAUACCGGCGCUCAACUGACGCUCAUGCACGAAAGCGUGGGUAUCGAACAGGAUUAGAUACCCCAGUAGUC
rnacentral:rRNA from 1 species